CAAAGUUUUUUUUCAUGUUUUUUUUUUUUUGGCUCUUUAACCCAAUAGGAAAGCUGUAUAUGACCUUUUAAUUUUGGACUGUUAACAUUCAAAUUAUGAUGGACUUGUUUCCUUGUUUAUGUGAAUUACAACAUCAUUAGCUGCAACAUCUGCCUGUUCUGUAAAACUGGUAGCUCAACGACAGCAUCCUGAGGGCAAUUAAGUGACAAAUAUUGUGCAAGAACAGCACUAUUACAACCCUGACAAUUUCCACUUCUUAGAAUGUUUACUGCCAAUUAUCACACAUAAAACAAGAAAUAAUAUUCUGUACUAAUACUUCUGUACUAGCCAAUACACAGUGAAUAAAUAUUAUCUGAAAGUCGG